GGAGGAAAAGAAACCAACAGGGAUUCCCCUAGUAACGGCGAGUGAAGCGGGAACAGCUCAAAUUUGAAAUCUGGCCUUCGGGUCCGAGUUGUAAUUUGCAGAGGAUGCUUUUGGUGCGGUGCCUUCCGAGUUCCCUGGAACGGGACGCCUUAGAGGGUGAGAGCCCCGUACGGUUGGCCACCAAGCCUGUGUAAAGCUCCUUCGACGAGUCGAGUAGUUUGGGAAUGCUGCUCAAAAUGGGAGGUAUAUUUCUUCUAAAGCUAAAUACUGGCCAGAGACCGAUAGCGCACAAGUAGAGUGAUCGAAAGAUGAAAAGCACUUUGAAAAGAGGGUUAAAUAGCACGUGAAAUUGUUGAAAGGGAAGGGUUUAUGACCAGACCUUUUCUAGGGGGAUCAUCCGGUGUUCUCACCGGUGCACUUCCCCUAGUUGAGGCCAGCAUCGGUUUCUGUAGGGGGAUAAAAGCUUCGGGAAUGUGGCUCCUUCGGGAGUGUUAUAGCCCGUUGCAUAAUACCCUUACGGGGACCGAGGUCCGCGCUUCGGCUAGGAUGCUGGCGUAAUGGUUAUUAACCACCCGUCUUGAAACACGGACCAAGGAGUCGAACAUUUGUGCGAGUGUUUGGGUGUUAAACCCUCACGCGUAAUGAAAGUGAACGGAGGUGAGAGCCCUCACGGGUGCAUCAUCGACCGAUCCUGAUGUCUUCGGAUGGAUUUGAGUAAGAGCAUAACUGUUCGGACCCGAAAGAUGGUGAACUAUGCGUGGAUAGGGUGAAGCCAGAGGAAACUCUGGUGGAGGCUCGCAGCGGUUCUGACGUGCAAAUCGAUCGUCAAAUCUGCGCAUGGGGGCGAAAGACUAAUCGAACCAUCUAGUAGU
rnacentral:rRNA from 2 species